rnacentral:pre_miRNA from 1 species
UUGAUUUCUUCAGAUACCGUAGGAUUUUGACACGUGGAUUGGUGGGCCAUAUUAGGCCACGUGGCCAUUUCGAUAAAAUCUAACGGUUUGGCUCACUUUAGAUUGAGAGGGAAAAUUCACUGCUCAAACUGGCCACGUGGCCUAAUAUGGCCCACCAAUCCACGUGUCAUAAUCCUACGGUAUCUGAAGAAAUCAA